rnacentral:tRNA from 1 species
GGCUUCAUAGCUCAGUUGGUGAGAGCGUCACAUCGCGAGGUCACGGGUUCAAACCCCGUUGAAGUCC